CCACUGUCUAUUUGCUUUUUCAUUCUGAAACCACCCAUCUUCAUUUCUUCCUAAUUUUGCUCCGACCCUCUCCCUCUCUUCGUCUUUUUCUUUUCCUUUCCACUCUCUCCUCCCUCAAAACAGCGUCAUUCAUCACACCCCCUUUUGUUCUCUUUUUUUUUUCCCUUUCCUUUUCUUUGCUGUUGUGAUUCCUCUAAAGACCAAGGCGAACGCUAAGCCGAAGGAGGAUGACGACGAGCCCGAAGAAGGAGAGAUCGUCGGCAACCAAGACUCGGCGUCGUCGAAGCCUUCGAAGGGAAUUGCGCCUCAGUCUCACGCCCUGGAGCACUCCUGGACCUUCUGGUUCAAUAGCCCUGCCGCAAAGUCCGCCAAGUCCAAGCAGGAGGAUUGGGGCAGCUCCAUCGGCCCGAUCUACACCUUCAUUACCGUCGAGGAGUUCUGGAGUUUGUGAUAGAACAAAUUUGGCCAUUUUUUGGUGGUGGAAGAACCCUCGCAGGGAGGAGGAAGAAGCCCAGAACUCACAGAAGGGCUCUCAGGGAGGAGGAAGAAGCUGGUCUUAGCAAGUCCCAUGGUUUGGGGAGUGCCUCGCUAAGAACCUUUAAGGAGGCCUCUAGUCCACACGAGUCCCCUUUAGUCCCAUUUAACUUAGUCCCAUCACCUAUCAAACAUGGGACUGUAGUCCAGUCCAGUCCACUCCCUCCUAAGGAGGUGAAACUCACCCUAUAAAUAGAACUAACUAAACUAUUCAGUGUGGCGUCAGUAAUACAUGUAUUUUAGCGGUUAAAUUUAGUUUUUUUAUAAUUGUUUAAAUUUUUUUUUAUUCAAUCUCGGUUAUUCAUAAACUCUAAGAAAAUAAAUUCUCUCUGUUUGGUUUGAUUUUUAGGUAAUUCUCUCUGAAACCCUAAAAACUAAACCCCAAACGGAUUUUUCUAUGGACUUUUGUCCAUCUUGUUUUGGCACUUGUGAGUCUAGUCAAAUAUCAAUGAAACCUCAACAGCUCACCACUGAAAGGUGAAAACAUUUAGGAGAGAAGAAACAGGAAAACAGAAGAAUCAAACAAAACCAGGUAGGGUUUGAAAUCAUGGAAAUGACAAACUCCCGUCGCAGACAAACACAUGCCAUAAAGGUUUCUGCUUUCCACAGUUCUUUUUCUAUUUGCAACUUUUCUCGAUUUUUAUAAUUUGAGUAUCAGAUCGAUUUUUUUUAAUUGAUGAGAACCAACUAUCUAGUACCAAACAUAUUAACAAAGAAAAAACAUAAUUAAUAUAUAUCUGUUGCAGUCCUAUUAGAUUAAAAAUAUGGUUGUGUAAAUUCUAGUGUAUCUAUGAGUAUUUUGUAUAUAUUCCAUUUAGUAGUUUAAUUCCUAUAGAGUUGUAAUCAUAAUAGGAUAAGUAUUUAACCUUCCCUACUACUAUAAAUAAAGGCAUAAGGUUGUGAUACAACACACACCUCAGAAUUACAUCUCUCUCUUUUCUCUCUGUUGCCGCCGGCCUCUCUCCCUUUCUGUCCUUUUUACAGUUCAGUCAAAUAGACCUACAACAAGUUAUCAGCAUGCUCUUGCUAGAAGCUAAGGAACUGAAAGAUCGUGGAGGAGGCUUACUUCUACAACAUCAAAGGCUUUUAAUUAUUUUCUACCAAUCAGGACAUGUCGAACUUGAACAAGCUUGAUUUCAUCGCUCUGGAAGUCUCUGGAAGAAACUACCUAAAGUGGGUUCACGAUGUGCUCCAUCUUACUGCAAAGAGUCUUAGAGCUACUAUCGAGGAACCAAUCGACAAUGCACCCAUCGACGAAGCUCAGAAAGCUAAUGCUAUGAUUUUCAUCUACAGACACAUCCAUGAUGCACUGCAGACUGAGUACUUCACAGAUGAGGAUCCACGUACCCUCUAGCUCGCUCUGGCCGAUCGCUUUGAUCACUAGAAAGACAUUUACUUGCCUGAAGUAAGACACGACUAGCAGCAUCUACACUUGCAAGGCUUUAAGUCUAUAAAUGAAUACAACUCUAAAAUUUGUAGAAUCUGAGCACUACUUAAGUCAUGGAGAAGACCUACUUGACUUUCAAUGCCACCAAUAUUGUCCUGCAACAACAUCUAGGGUACAGAAGUCACCAAAUUUUCAGAUUUGAUAGCUAUUUUACUUAUCACUGAAAAGCAGAACCAACUUUUGAUAAAGAAUCAUCAAGCUCGACCUACUGGUUCGAACGCUGCGUCUAAAACCCAUGCGACCAAUUCUAACAGCCACAAUCGACGAAAAUCUCGUCGUGGCAGUGGAAAAUGGCGGCAAGGCCCACCAUGGGCCCAAGGUCAACAAAAAAGAGGCCAUCCAAGGGAGGAAAUUUGACCCAGAAGUGCCAACCCUUUGCCCUUAAGGCCUCAAACUUCAAAAACAAGGGAAAGGCUACCAUUCAAUUGGCUUCCACUGAACUAGACAUGUGUUAUCGCUGUGGAUCAAAUGAUCAUUGGUCACACGUAUGCCGAGCUAGCCCGAGACUAUUGCCAAGUAUCAUUCCCGUCAUAAGUUUAACUUUACGCUUGUAGAACUUCCUAAAGAUAUUACUACAACUCUGAAGGUUUCAGAUUUUCAGGAGGCAUUCGCUCCUAUGGAAGAAUAAAGUUUUAUUUUUCUAAGACAUGUUAGGGUGUUUUAUACCCUUAGUGGCCGAACCCACUAGGAGUGGCCGAACC